UGAGGAAUAUUGGUCAAUGGGCGAGAGCCUGAACCAGCCAAGUCGCGUGAAGGAAGACGGCCCUAUGGGUUGUAAACUUCUUUUGUAGGGGAAUAAAAAAGAGUACGAGUGCUCUAUUGCAGGUACCCUACGAAUAAGGAUCGGCUAACUCCGUGCCAGCAGCCGCGGUAAUACGGAGGAUCCAAGCGUUAUCCGGAUUUAUUGGGUUUAAAGGGUGCGUAGGCGGUCUUAUAAGUCAGUGGUGAAAGUUUUCGGCUCAACCGGAAAAUUGCCAUUGAAACUGUAGGACUUGAGUACAAAUGAGGUAGGCGGAAUGUAUUGUGUAGCGGUGAAAUGCUUAGAUAUAAUACAGAACACCAAUUGCGAAGGCAGCUUACUGGAAUGUCACUGACGCUGAGGCACGAAAGCGUGGGGAUCAAACA
rnacentral:rRNA from 1 species